rnacentral:rRNA from 1 species
UACAGAGGUCUCAAGCGUUGUUCGGAUUCAUUGGGCGUAAAGGGUGCGUAGGUGGCGGGGUUAGUCAGGUGUGAAAUCUCGGGGCUCAACCCCGAAACUGCACUUGAUACUGCCUUGCUCGAGUACUGGAGAGGAGAUUGGAAUUUACGGUGUAGCAGUGAAAUGCGUAGAUAUCGUAAGGAAGACCAGUGGCGAAGGCGAAUCUCUGGACAGUUACUGACACUGAGGCAGC